rnacentral:rRNA from 1 species
CACGUAGGGGGCAAGCGUUGUCCGGAUUUAUUGGGCGUAAAGAGCUCGUAGGUGGUUCGGUAAGUCGGGUGUUAAACCCCCAGGCUCAACCUGGGGACGCCACUCGAUACUGCUGUGACUUGAGUCCGGUAGGGGAGCGUGGAAUUCCUGGUGUAGCGGUGAAAUGCGCAGAUAUCAGGAGGAACACCAGCGGCGAAGGCGGCGCUCUGGGCCGGUACUGACACUGAGGAGCGAAAGCGUGGGGAUCAAACAGG